rnacentral:rRNA from 1 species
UACGAAGGGGGCUAGCGUUAAUCGGAAUUACUGGGCGUAAAGCGCGCGUAGGCGGCUUUGCAAGUCGGGUGUGAAAUCCCCAGGCUUAACCUGGGAACUGCAUUCGAGACUGCAUUGCUAGAGUAUGGGAGAGGGAAGUGGAAUUUCCGGUGUAGCGGUGAAAUGCGUAGAUAUCGGGAGGAACACCAAUGGCGAAGGCAGCUUGCUGGGACGGUACUGACGCUGAGGUGCGAAAGCGUGGGGAGCAAACAGG